UUGAGCUGUGAUGGGGAGCGAUGUUUAGUAGCGAAGUUAGUGACGUCACACUGCCAAGAAAAGCUUAUAGCGUUUAAACAUACUCUACCAGUACCGCAAACCGACACAGGUAGUCGAGGCGAGUAGCCUCAGGUGAGCGAGAGAACUCUCGUUAAGGAACUCGGCAAAAUGACCCCGUAACCUCGGGAGAAGGUGUUCUGACAUAUGUCAGCCGCAGUGAAUAGGCCCAAGCAACUGUUUAUCAAAUACACAGCUCUCUGCUAUAUCGUAAGAUG
rnacentral:rRNA from 1 species